UACGUAGGGUGCGAGCGUUGUCCGGAAUUAUUGGGCGUAAAGAGCUCGUAGGCGGUGUGUCGCGUCGGGCGUGAAGACACCGGGCUUAACUCGGUGCUUGCUUUCGAUACGGGCAGACUAGAGGCAUGCAGGGGAGAACGGAAUUCCUGGUGUAGCGGUGAAAUGCGCAGAUAUCAGGAGGAACACCGGUGGCGAAGGCGGUUCUCUGGGCAUGUCCUGACGCUGAGGAGCGAAAGUGUGGGGAGCGAACAGG
rnacentral:rRNA from 1 species